rnacentral:lncRNA from 1 species
CCUCAGGCAUCCUGCUGGCUGCAGAGAGGUUUGCUCCAACCAAACGCUGGCACAUAGACACCAUCCUGCAUGUGCUGACAACGGUGAGGCAGGGGCCAGUCAGAGAGCUGGGCAGAAGUGGUCAAGAUUCACCACACUGACUUGGCCAUGCCCACACCUUCCAGGCGGGCACCCAUGUGCGGGAUGAUGCAGUGGCCAACCUGACCCAGCUGAUUGGGGGGGCCCAGGAGCUACAUGCCUACUCUGUGCGCCGCCUCUACAAUGCCCUGGCAGAAGACAUUUCCCAGGUCACAGCUGCUUACACAGUGCAGAAGACAUCUGAGCACAGAGCCCUGUUUUUAAGAACAUCUGGGCUUUUGUCCUGACUCUGGUACCUCCUGGUUAUGUAACUACAGAUGACUAACUUCCCUUAUGCUCCAUGUACCCUGACUGCCUCUUAGAGCUGCCUUGAGAUUAAAGCUCUUGUGUUUAUGA